rnacentral:rRNA from 1 species
CCCUUAGAUGUUCUGGGCCGCACGCGCGCUACAAUGAUGAAUUCAACGAGUUUAUAACCUUGGUUGAAAAGCCUGGGUAAUCUUUUGAACUUUCGUCGUGAUGGGGCUAGACCCUUGCAAUUAUUGGUCUCCAACGAGGAAUUCCUAGUAAACGCAAGUCAUCAGCUUGCAUUGAUUACGUCCCUGCCCUUUGUACACACCGCCCGUCGCACCUACCGAUUGAAUGGUCCGGUGAAAUCUUCGGAUUGCUGAUCAAAUUCCAGCAAUGGAGCUUGAUUGCGAGAAGUUGAUUAAACCUUAUUAUUUAGAGGAAGGAGAAGUCGUAACA